CUGCUGGUGCUCAGGUCUGUAGUGUUCUCCAGGAUAUAACCUUUAAAGAAACAUAAGUGAUAAUACAUUGGCUUUAUAUCUAGUGCUUUUUACACAAUGCUUUUCAGGGAGGAAGCCCUUUACAGUUGUGCAACAAAUACAGUACUAGAACAGACUGAUGGUUUAAGGUAGAUAAGAGGAGGCAGGAACAGACUGAGGGUUUAAAGUAGAUAAGAGGAGGCAGGAACAGACUGAGGGUUUAAGGUAGAUACGAAGAGGCAGGAACAGACUGAUGGUUUAAGGUAGAUAAGAGGAGGCAGGAACAGACUGAGGGUUUAAGGUAGAUACGAAGAGGCAGGGACAGACUGAUGGUUUAAGGUAGAUAAGAAGAGGCAGGGACAGACUGAUGGUUUAAGGUAGAUAAGAGGAGUCAGGAACAGACUGAGGGUUUAAGGUAGAUAAGAGGAGGCAGGAAC
ensembl:lncRNA